GACAGGGGGGGCAAGCGUUGCUCGGAAUUACUGGGCGUAAAGGGUGCGUAGGCGGCGCGGUAAGUCGGGUGUGAAAUCUCGGAGCUUAACUCCGAAACUGCAUUCGAUACUGCCGUGCUUGAGGACUGGAGAGGAGACUGGAAUUUACGGUGUAGCGGUGAAAUGCGCAGAUAUCAGGAGGAACACCCGUAGCGAAGGCGGCACUCUGGGCCGAUACUGACACUGAGGAGCGAAAGCGUGGGGAGC
rnacentral:rRNA from 1 species